ensembl:snoRNA
CUCCAUGUCUCUUUGGGACCUGCUGCCUGUGGCAGCCUCCCUUCCUAACCAUGGAAGAGCAAACCUUGUUGAUUGGCAAAGCUGGCACUACGUCGUUGAUAUCAGGUUCUGACUUGCACAAGGGACAGUU